GCUUACGGCCACACUGCCUAGUUCACGCCCGAUCUCGUUUGAUCUCGGAAGCUAAAAUAGGUUGGGCCUGGUUAGUACUUGCAUGGGAGACUGCCUGGGAAUACCAGGUGCUGUAAGCU
ensembl:rRNA 5S_rRNA 5S ribosomal RNA